rnacentral:rRNA from 1 species
UGGGGAAUAUUGCGCAAUGGGGGAAACCCUGACGCAGCAACGCCGCGUGAAGGAAGAAGGCUUUCGGGUUGUAAACUUCUUUAGGCAGGGACGAAACUGACGGUACCUGCAGAAUAAGCCCCGGCUAACUACGUGCCAGCAGCCGCGGUAAUACGUAGGGGGCAAGCGUUAUCCGGAAUCACUGGGCGUAAAGGGUGUGUAGGCGGCCAUUUAGGUCACAUGUGAAAUCCCCGGGCUUAACCCGGGAACCGCAUGAGAAACCGUAUGGCUGGAGUGCAGGAGAGGUAAGCGGAAUUCCUAGUGUAGCGGUGAAAUGCGUAGAUAUUAGGAAGAACACCGGUGGCGAAGGCGGCUUACUGGACUGUAACUGACGCUGAGACACGAAAGCGUGGGGAGCGAACA